AUUGAACGCUGGCGGAAUGCUUUACACAUGCAAGUCGAGCGGCAGCGCGGGGCAACCUGGCGGCGAGCGCCGAACGGGUGAGUAAUGCAUCGGAACAUGUCCAUGUCGUGGGGGAUAGCCCGGCGAAAGCCGGCUUAAUACCGCACACGCCCGAGAGGGGACAGUGGGGGACCGCAAGGCCUCACGCGAUUGGGUUGGCCGAUGUCCGAUUAGCUAGUUGGUGGGGUAAAGGCCUACCAAGGCGAUGAUCGGUAGCUGGUCUGAGAGGAUGAUCAGCCACACUGGGACUGAGACACGGCCCAGACUCCUACGGGAGGCAGCAGUGGGGAAUUUUGGACAAUGGGGGCAACCCUGAUCCAGCCAUUCCGCGUGAGUGAAGAAGGCCUUCGGGUCGUAAAGCUCUUUUGUCCGGAACGAAACGGUGCUCGUGAAUAUCGAGCGCUACUGACGGUACCGGAAGAAUAAGCACCGGCUAACUACGUGCCAGCAGCCGCAGUAACAC
rnacentral:rRNA from 1 species